rnacentral:misc_RNA from 1 species
UCGAGCGUCAUUUCAACCCUCAAGCCCAGCUUGGUAUUGGGUGUCACCUGGCAAUGGUGCACCUUAAAAUCAGUGGCGGUGCAUCUGGCCUCGAGCGUAGUAAAACAAUCGCUUUGGAGGUUUGGAUGGUGUGCUUGCCAUCAACCCCUAAUUUACCAAAGGUUGACCUCGGAUCAGGUAGGGAUACCCGCUGAACUUAA